GAGGGUAUAGCUUGGUGGUAGAGUGUUUGCUUAGCAUGCAUGAGGUCCAGAGUUCAAUUCUCAGUACCUCCA
rnacentral:tRNA from 1 species